rnacentral:rRNA from 1 species
GUCGCCUCCUAAAAGGUAACGGAGGCGCUCAAAGGUUCCCUCAGAAUGGUUGGAAAUCAUUCAUAGAGUGUAAAGGCAUAAGGGAGCUUGACUGCGAGACCUACAAGUCGAGCAGGGUCGAAAGACGGACUUAGUGAUCCGGUGGUUCCGCAUGGAAGGGCCAUCGCUCAACGGAUAAAAGCUACCCCGGGGAUAACAGGCUUAUCUCCCCCAAGAGUUCACAUCGACGGGGAGGUUUGGCACCUCGAUGUCGGCUCAUCGCAUCCUGGGGCUGUAGUCGGUCCCAAGGGUUGGGCUGUUCGCCCAUUAAAGCGGUACGCGAGCUGGGUUCAGAACGUCGUGAGACAGUUCGGUCCCUAUCCGUCGUGGGCGUAGGAAAUUUGAGAGGAGCUGUCCUUAGUACGAGAGGACCGGGAUGGACAUACCUCUGGUGUACCAGUUGUCGUGCCAACGGCAUAGCUGGGUAGCUAUGUGUGGACGGGAUAAGUGCUGAAAGCAUCUAAGCAUGAAGCCCCCCUCAA